rnacentral:rRNA from 1 species
GACGAACGCUGGCGGCGUGCCUAAUACAUGCAAGUCGAACGCUUCUUUCCUCCCGAGUGCUUGCACUCAAUUGGAAAGAGGAGUGGCGGACAGGUGAGUAACACGUGGGUAACCUACCCAUCAGAGGGGGAUAACACUUGGAAACAGGUGCUAAUACCGCAUAACAGUUUAUGCCGCAUGGCAUAAGAGUGAAAGGCGCUUUCGGGUGUCGCUGAUGGAUGGACCCGCGGUGCAUUAGCUAGUUGGUGAGGUAACGGCUCACCAAGGCCACGAUGCAUAGCCGACCUGAAGGGGUGAUCGGCAACACUGGGACUGAGACACGGCCCAGACUCCUACGGGAGGCAGCAGUAGGGAAUCUUCGGCAAUGGACGAAAGUCUGACCGAGCAACGCCGCGUGAGUGAAGAAGGUUUUCGGAUCGUAAAACUCUGUUGUUAGAGAAGAACAAGGACGUUAGUAACUGAACGUCCCCUGACGGUAUCUAACCAGAAAGCCACGGCUAACUACGUG